rnacentral:tRNA from 1 species
GGCGGGAUUCCGGAGCGGUCAAACGGGCGUGGCUGUAAACCACGUGGCUCAGCCUUCGCAGGUUCGAAUCCUGCUCCCGCCA